rnacentral:lncRNA from 1 species
GCGCUUCUUCUGCACUAGGUAUCGAAGGGCGCUAUGUUAAAAAAUCUGAAACUAGAGCUCAAAAUUCGAAAAAAAUGUCAUAAAAUGGGGGUAGGGUCGGCCUAUUCCAGGAGUUCUAGAGAAAAAUAAUGAGGGGUGUCACGGGGUAUGACUAUAUAGGUCUUGUAGAGGAGAAACAGGCGCUUCUUUUGCGCUAGGUAUCAAAGGGCGCUAUGUUCAAAAAUCUGAAACUAGAGCUCAAAAUUUGAAAAAAAUGUCAAAAAAAUGGGGGUAGGGUCGGCCUAUUCCAGGAGUUCUAGAGAAAAAUAAUGGGGGGUGUCACGGGAUAUGGCUAUAUAGGUCUUGUAGAAGAGAAACAGGCGCUUCUUCUGCACUAGGUAUCGAAGGGCGCUAUGUUCAAAAAUCUGAAACUAGAGCUCAAAAAUCGAAAAAAAAGUCAAAAAAUUAGGGGGGUCGGCCUAUUCCAGGGCUUCUAGAGAAAAAUAAUGAGGGGUGUCACGGGGUAUGACUAUAUAGGUCUUGUAGAAGAGAAACAGGCGCUUCUUUUGCGCUAGGUAUCGAAGGGCGCUAUGUUCAAAAAUCUGAAACUAGAGCUCAAAAUUUGAAAAAAUGUCAAAAAAAAUUAGGGGGUCGGCCUAUUCUAGGACUUCUAGAGAAAAAUAAUGAGGAGUGUCACGGGAUAUGACUAUAUAGGUCUUGUAGAGGAGAAACAGGCGCUUCUUUUACGCUAGGUAUCGAAGGGCGCUAUGUUCAAAAAUCUGAAACU